rnacentral:rRNA from 1 species
AUUGAACGCUGGCGGCAUGCUUUACACAUGCAAGUCGAACGGUAACAGGGUGCUUGCACCGCUGACGAGUGGCGAACGGAUGAGUAAUGCAUCGGAAUGUACCGUGUAAUGGGGGAUAGCUCGGCGAAAGCCGGAUUAAUACCGCAUACGCCCUGAGGGGGAAAGUGGGGGACCGAAAGGCCUCACGUUAUACGAGCAGCCGAUGUCUGAUUAGCUAGUUGGUGAGGUAAAGGCUCACCAAGGCGUCGAUCAGUAGCGGGUCUGAGAGGAUGAUCCGCCACACUGGGACUGAGACACGGCCCAGACUCCUACGGGAGGCAGCAGUGGGGAAUUUUGGACAAUGGGCGCAAGCCUGAUCCAGCCAUGCCGCGUGUCUGAAGAAGGCCUUCGGGUUGUAAAGGACUUUUGUCCGGGAGCAAAUCCUAGUGGUUAAUAACCGCUGGGUCUGAGAGUACCGGAAGAAUAAGCACCGGCUAACUACGUG